rnacentral:rRNA from 1 species
CACGCCUUAAACGAUGUAUGCUUGGUGUUGGAACAGCAAUGUUUCAGUGCCGGAGGGAAUCUAUUAAGCAUACCACCUGGGGAGUACGAUCGCAAGGUUGAAACUCAAAGGAAUUGACGGGGGCCCGCACAAGCGGUGGAUUAUGUGGUUUAAUUCGAUGCAACGCGAAGAACCUUACCCGGGCUCGAAGUGCAGGUAGUAAAGAGAUGAAAGUCGAAUGAACCGUUAAGUCGGUUGCCUGUAUAGGUGC